rnacentral:rRNA from 1 species
CCACCACCAAAGCAUUCUCUGGUGUUGAAGGCCCUGCAAAGCAGCAUCGCGGUGGCGGAGCGUCGUUUGCGACGCCCAACACACAAAACAAGCGGUGAAUGCUUUGGGGUGGGGUGACUGCGUACCUUUUGUAUAAUGGGUCAGCGACUUAUAUUCUGUAGCAAGGUUAACCGAAUAGGGGAGCCGGAGGGAAACCGAGUCUUAAUUGGGCGUUAAGUUGCAGGGUAUAGACCCGAAACCCGGUGAUCUAGCCAUGGGCAGGUUGAAGGUUGGGUAACACUAACUGGAGGACCGAACCGACUAAUGUUGAAAAAUUAGCGGAUGACCUGUGGCUGGGGGUGAAAGGCCAAUCAAACCGGGAGAUAGCUGGUUCUCCCCGAAAGCUAUUUAGGUAGCGCCUCGUGAAUUCAUCUCCGGGGGUAGAGCACUGUUUCGGCUAGGGGGCCAUCCCGGCUUACCAACCCGAUGCAAACUGCGAAUACCGGAGAAUGUUAUCACGGGAGACACACGGCGGGUGCUAACGUCCGUCGUGAAGAGGGAAACAACCCAGACCGCCAGCUAAGGUCCCAAAGUCAUGGUUAAGUGGGAAACGAUGUGGGAAGGCCCAGACAGCCAGGAUGUUGGCUUAGAAGCAGCCAUCAUUUAAAGAAAGCGUAAUAGCUCACUGGUCGAGUCGGCCUGCGCGGAAGAUGUAACGGGGCUAAACCAUGCACCGAAGCUGCGGCAGCGAACGUAUCACCCAAGACAACUUUACGGAGUUGACGAUUGACGGAGCGAAGCGACGUCAAAGCGUUCAUUAAAGUCGAGUUGGCUUAGGGAUACGUUCGUUGGGUAGGGGAGCGUUCUGUAAGCCUGUGAAGGUGUGUCGUGAGGCAUGCUGGAGGUAUCAGAAGUGCGAAUGCUGACAUAAGUAACGAUAAAGCGGGUGAAAAGCCCGCUCGCCGGAAGACCAAGGGUUCCUGUCCAACGUUAAUCGGGGCAGGGUGAGUCGACCCCUAAGGCGAGGCCGAAAGGCGUAGUCGAUGGGAAACGGGUUAAUAUUCCCGUACUUGGUGUUACUGCGAAGGGGGGACGGAGAAGGCUAUGUUGGCCGGGCGACGGUUGUCCCGGUUUAAGCGUGUAGGUGUGUGUUCCAGGUAAAUCCGGUUCACUUUAACACUGAGGCGUGACGACGAGGCACUACGGUGCUGAAGCAACAAAUGCCCUGCUUCCAGGAAAAGCCUCUAAGCAUCAGGUAACACGAAAUCGUACCCCAAACCGACACAGGUGGUCAGGUAGAGAAUACCAAGGCGCUUGAGAGAACUCGGGUGAAGGAACUAGGCAAAAUGGUGCCGUAACUUCGGGAGAAGGCACGCUGACACGUAGGUGAAGUGAUUUACUCAUGGAGCUGAAGUCAGUCGAAGAUACCAGCUGGCUGCAACUGUUUAUUAAAAACACAGCACUGUGCAAACACGAAAGUGGACGUAUACGGUGUGACGCCUGCCCGGUGCCGGAAGGUUAAUUGAUGGGGUCAGCGCAAGCGAAGCUCCUGAUCGAAGCCCCGGUAAACGGCGGCCGUAACUAUAACGGUCCUAAGGUAGCGAAAUUCCUUGUCGGGUAAGUUCCGACCUGCACGAAUGGCGUAAUGAUGGCCAGGCUGUCUCCACCCGAGACUCAGUGAAAUUGAACUCGCUGUGAAGAUGCAGUGUACCCGCGGCAAGACGGAAAGACCCCGUGAACCUUUACUAUAGCUUGACACUGAACAUUGAGCCUUGAUGUGUAGGAUAGGUGGGAGGCUUUGAAGUGUGGACGCCAGUCUGCAUGGAGCCGACCUUGAAAUACCACCCUUUAAUGUUUGAUGUUCUAACGUGGACCCGUAAUCCGGGUUGCGGACAGUGUCUGGUGGGUAGUUUGACUGGGGCGGUCUCCUCCUAAAGAGUAACGGAGGAGCACGAAGGUUGGCUAAUCCUGGUCGGACAUCAGGAGGUUAGUGCAAUGGCAUAAGCCAGCUUGACUGCGAGCGUGACGGCGCGAGCAGGUGCGAAAGCAGGUCAUAGUGAUCCGGUGGUUCUGAAUGGAAGGGCCAUCGCUCAACGGAUAAAAGGUACUCCGGGGAUAACAGGCUGAUACCGCCCAAGAGUUCAUAUCGACGGCGGUGUUUGGCACCUCGAUGUCGGCUCAUCACAUCCUGGGGCUGAAGUAGGUCCCAAGGGUAUGGCUGUUCGCCAUUUAAAGUGGUACGCGAGCUGGGUUUAGAACGUCGUGAGACAGUUCGGUCCCUAUCUGCCGUGGGCGCUGGAGAACUGAGGGGGGCUGCUCCUAGUACGAGAGGACCGGAGUGGACGCAUCACUGGUGUUCGGGUUGUCAUGCCAAUGGCACUGCCCGGUAGCUAAAUGCGGAAGAGAUAAGUGCUGAAAGCAUCUAAGCACGAAACUUGCCCCGA